rnacentral:rRNA from 1 species
CCUACGGGGGGCUGCAGUGAGGAAUAUUGGUCAAUGGCCGGAAGGCUGAACCAGCCAAGUCGCGUGAGGGAAUAAGGCCCUAUGGGUCGUAAACCUCUUUUGUCAGGGAGCAAAGGCGUCCACGUGUGGACGAGAGGAGAGUACCUGAAGAAAAAGCAUUGGCUAACUCCGUGCCAGCAGCCGCGGUAAUACGGAGGAUGCGAGCGUUAUCCGGAUUUAUUGGGUUUAAAGGGUGCGUAGGCGGAGUGUCAAGUCAGCGGUAAAAUUUCGGGGCUCAACCCCGUCGUGCCGUUGAUACUGCCUUGCUGGAAUGCGGAUGCCGUGGGAGGAAUGUGUGGUGUAGCGGUGAAAUGCAUAGAUAUCACACAGAACACCGAUUGCGAAGGCAUCUCAUGAAUCCGCGAUUGACGCUGAUGCACGAAAGCGUGGGUAUCAAACAGGAUUAGAUACCCCUGUAGUC